UGACAGCUGUUCCUCCUCCUGCUAGCAGUGGAGCAGAGUGGAUUUUAUGCUGUCACAGAUUAAAACGGGUCUUUUCACCCAGGUUGCAUCACGCAGCAGCGCUGUGAUAAAAUGCUUCCUGGUUUUGCGUGGCCCCACAAGA